rnacentral:rRNA from 1 species
UACAGAGGGUGCGAGCGUUGUUCGGAAUUAUUGGGCGUAAAGGGCGCGUAGGCGGCGCCACAAGUCACCUGUGAAAACUCUGGGCUCAACCCAGAGCCUGCAGGCGAAACUGUGGUGCUGGAGUAUGGCAGAGGGGGGUGGAAUUCCGCGUGUAGCAGUGAAAUGCGUAGAGAUGCGGAGGAACACCGAUGGCGAAGACAGCCCCCUGGGCUGACACUGACGCUCAGGCACGAAAGCGUGGGGAGCAAACAGG